rnacentral:lncRNA from 1 species
CUACUCCGAAGCCUCUUCGGCCCCGGGCGUCUAAGCAGCAGGUCACUUAGGCCUUUGCUGUUUGCCGCCCUGGCGUCCAGCCGCAAAUUAGCCAGUGCCGAGCUUAGAGCGAGUCGCAGUAAGUAGUGCGACAGAAGUUCUCAGGGUUAGUGCUUUCCCGACGGAUGCUGGCGGAAUCGCAAGCCCGUGGGAGCCCCGAGCCCGAGCGGAGGACACCUAACCUUAUCCUCAGGCCACUGCCCCUCAUCAGUGCCCGAGUUCGGGACAUGUCAGGUUCAGGAAAAAGAAAAAGCAAACAAACCGCGAAAUCAACACAGUGGAAAUCAGGCCUCCCGACCCCUUCUGCUACGUUUAGGACAGCUGGAAGCUGCUAGUCUGAAUUCGGAGCUGGGCAAAGUGAGAGCUUGGGACAGGCCAUAAUGCAGAGCAGCGUUUCCGUGGGGUUCUUGGCUGACUGUCGCCCUGCACUCCCACGCCCUGCUGACUGCGACCUUCCAACCGUAGUUGAUUUCUUAAUCUCAAGGCUGGUGGGGCUGAGGCCAGAGUGAGCCAACGGGAAAUACUUAGGCCACGGCUGCUUACCGGUUUUCGAAAAGGAAAAAAAAACUGGCGAGUCUUUUAAGCUGAAACGUCGCAACUUUAGAUAAUAACUGGGAAAUUAUGGAUAUUUUUUGCCGUUUCAUUAUAAUUGCCCAUGCAUUGAGGAACUAAAACUUCAAACUAGCGCCAGCUUCAUAUUAAAAUCAUAUGAAAGAAUCAUCACAAUUCCAAGGUUUAACUAGGCACUGAGCCGAUGCAAAUUACGUUAUCUAGUCAGCAACUUGCC